rnacentral:misc_RNA from 1 species
UGUAUUAUGAACUCAUCAGAAAAUAUACCAAUGUGUAUUCAAUAAAAUGGUAGCCAUCCACGUGAAUUAAAAAUAUUAUGUCUUAUUUGAAGAGAUUUAUGCUAAAAUAAGGGUGUCCCUAGUGUAUGAGACUUCCUGAUUUGCAAAGAUCAUUUAUCAUAUGCAGCUCUCCCCUUGUGUUUUUGCUUUUCCCCCUCCCUUUUGUAGAAAAACUAUACCCAC